GAUGGUAUAAUUUGGAAGUUAGCACAGGGAGUCGACUCUCCUCAAGAUAAGACACUUCCUCUAGCAACUUUGCUUGAAUGUUGUGCCUGCUGCUACUACAUAUGCAAAAGAAAAAAAAUAUAGUUUCUCUUGGCGAUGGUGCCCUUAAGAGUUUGUGGCAACAAACUUUGAUAUGACUAAUUUAGUCCUUCUUGACCUUUCACAUGGCAAUGUUUCAGAGAAAUGGAUUUGCUGGAAUCAAAUCAUAAUAUAGUACGAAUCUCACUCCUUGCAUACAUGUAUCAUUCCUUGUCAUUUUUUUUCCUGAAAAUACUUUCUUAUAUAUUUUUUGUUUUGCAGGUGGCAAGUAAACUAGAAGUACUAGAUCUCAACAAUUGUGAAUACUUAAUGAGAACACCUAAUUUAUCUAUGUUGGUGUCCUUGGAGAGAUUGACUCUUGAAGGUUGUCACAACUUAAUUGAAAUUGACCCAUCCAUUGGUAAAUUAAAGCUCCUAACUACUUUGAACUUGAAGGGAUGUGACUCUUUUCAAGAGUUACCUGAAGAGAUAGGAUAUCUACAAGCUUUGAUAGAGAUUGUCAUGCCUAGUACGCUACAUGAGCUUUCAAAGAGAUUUGUUAAUUUACGGUCAUUGUUGACCUUUGAUAUCACAGAGGCAGAUUAGCAAACUGCCAUACUUGAUUGGAGAGCUAGUGAAACUUAGGUGGUUGGAUUUAUCAGGGUGUACGAAGAUAGAGGAACUUCCAGACUCAGGUUUGGGAAUUACAAUCCUUAGUUGAGUUGGAUUUCUCAUUGAUAAUAUUUGUGGACCUUAGAAAGACUUAAAGAUUGACAAGUUUCCUCUGCUAUGUGCAGUGAACAAGAAGCAUCACCCUCCAUUUUUGAGUGAUGAAGAAUGGCCUUUCGAUAAAAUAGCCAAAGACGGCGCUCUACGCAAGCACAUGGCUUUGAGAGGAAUCAACACUGUUGCAGAAAAAAGAAUAAGGGAAGCACAAGCAGUUUGCGACUGCAUUUUUUUACCAAAUUACCGGCAACCAUCUUCACUAGCAGUCAGAUAAGCCCGAGGAUGGUACUCCUCUGAGGAUCGAACUAGUAGAUGGCAGGACCAAUGAGAGGAUUAUGAGUGGCCCUCUAUCUUCCAUAAAGCUCAAAAUUGUCAUCCUUGAAGGCGAUUUCGGGUCAGACGAGGGAGAGGAUUGGACCGAGAAGGAAUUCAACUACAAUAUCGUUUGCGAAAGGGAAGGGAUAAGGCCAUUGAUAACUGGGGAGCUUACUGUGAUCUUGCAAGGAGGAAUUGGUUGCCUCCGUAAUUUAAUCAUCACUGACAGCUCGAGCUGGAUGAGAAGUCGGGAAAUGAGCUCGAGUUAUUCAAAAGAUUUCUGCAGAAAUAAGAAUAAGUGAAGUGAGAAGUGAAACUUUCAUCAUUAAAUAUCAUCGAGGAGAGUGUAAGUUUGCAAUGCCUAUCAUUUUACGAUAACAAUUUAAUUCCAACCAUCAACUCUGUAUGUGGACCAUAGAAAGACUGACUGACAAGUUUUCUCUGUUAUGUGCAGUGAACAAGAAGCACUAUCCACAAUCACUGAGCGACGAAGUAUGGCGUUUGCAGAAAAUAGCCAAAGACAGCACUCUGCAUAAGGGCAUGAUUUCGAGAGGAAUCAACACUGUUCAAGAUUUCCUCCAGCUGUACGAAGUGGAUGCGCCUUUCUAAGAAACAUAGUGACUCUCACUCUUCGAGCACUGCUAAUUUCCCUUUUUUCCAGUUCACAUUAUUCUAAGCAUUGUUCAAUAUCAAAUCGUGGUACUUCUUUUGUGUGCGAUGUUGUUUGAGGUACUUGGAAAUGGGAUCACCAAGCGGACAUGGGAGUCAAUCGUCAGACAUGCCAGCCCCUGUGUGAUCAACGAUGACGAUGUAUUUCUACCAAGCUUUGAACAAGGCCAGUAUAGUGUUCAAUUCGGUCAUGAAAGUUGCUCAAGCAGCACUCGAUGGCCAAAUUUACCAGUCGGUAGGCAUAUUGGCCCACUCUCAGAAGGCACAUAAAUCAUAACCCGAAAUAUCUCUAUCUAAUAGCUGAGUGUGAAUAUAUCUGGACCUAUAGAAGGGCCUGUAUUUAUCAGUUUUGUCUGCUUCCAUGGCAGAAUAUAUACCACAAACACUUCUCUUAAAAAAAUACCCGUUUGAUUUUGGACUUGAUUGAACCCGCUGCUCAGUUGACAGAUUUUGUUGCAGAACUUGAAAUGGCUAGCUUACGAUAACAACAAUCAAUGGUGGCGCUCGAUGCCCUACCCAGCUUCUCUCUUCUGAGAGCCCCAACCAAUUUGCCUACAGAGCCGUCAAUUGGCCUGAGCCUGCCACUUCAUCAUCUAUUUUACACAGAGUUAAACCAAGGUAUUGUGGUAUUACAUCACUUCCAUCUAUCUUUUCCUUUUUGGCCUUCUUAAUCUUUCACAGUUUAGUGUUCCCAUUUCUUUAUUGGCACAUCCACCUUUUUGCACAUCUAUGGUGGCUGAAACCGAAAUGCAUCAUUAUUCAGAUAGACCAGAAGUGACUCCUGAAUUUAGUUACUCAUUGGUUUCAGCAUCGUGCUGCUACAAUGUCACAGAGAUCAGACAAUUAGGUUGUCUGGGGCCAGAGAGUCAUAUCACUGCAAAAAUCUUUGAUCCGACUGUAAUCAACAGCUUGGCAAGGGAGGACUUUUUGUCCAGUUUUGAGUGCUGGCGAAAGCAGUCAUCUUCCUGGUUACACACAAGAUCUGUUUGCGCCGAACAUCCAUUUUUCUCCUGAGGAGCUUUUCCAAGUGCCAUCUCCAAUCCCUGGCAAUUUAAUGUGGACACCGGAGCAUAUUUUCAUCAUUGAGUCGAGCAGCGGGGUAGAUUUUGGGAUCUGCCCAUCUCGCACGGGUUAUGGAGUCCAUAAUUCUAGGAUUACAAGGCCCAAGGUGGUAUGGUGCAAGAUCCGUGAUGUGGUGAAGUGGGGAUUGGUUCGGCACGUUGUGGGUGCAAAGAGAAGAGCAAUGUUCAAUUGUGCAAGUUAUCCAGCUAUAUAAAUGGAGAGUCCCAUCCCCCAAAAGAAUUUUGGGUGCUUCAGGAGCACGAAGCUCUCGUCCACACAAGCCAGUCAUCACAUGCGAAGUACAAAAAAGAAGGAAAUUCAUGAUACUUGAUGCGAGGAGAUUGUCUUGGGAGUAUGAGAAUGUCUAGUUCUAGGGGUAAGCUGCCCAGGAUGCAUCAUCGACUUAGUAUUAUGCAUGAUCACUGAGAUUUUCUCUAUUGUUUUUUGUUGAUUGUCCUUUCAUAUUUGAAUGAAGUUGUGCACCAUUAAGAUGGGGCUGCCAAUUGGACGUGUCUUCUCUCUAUAGGUCACGCAAGCUGAUCUUAGGAAGUACCUCAAUACAGGGGUUCUUCCUCAAGAAUUGUAAGGCUUUUGCUCUCUUCUUCAAGAAUUGUUUGGCAUUCUGUUUGUCCCAAAUACAUCAUCCCUUGAUUUGUCAGUUUACUGUUCUGAUAUGCUUAGUGGACUUUUCUUUGCUUUACAAAAUUUGUGAGUAUGUUACUUAGUUUGCGAGAUCCAAAGUUUCUCCUGUCAGCUUUGCUCUUAUUGGUCUGAAAUAUUAUAUGGUAACAAUUAGUCACAAAGCCCACAAUCUUGACGGUAUAUAGUCAAGGUUCUUCUAUCGCCAAUGUGGGACCAUGUUUUCCUCGUACAUUCCACCGAGUUCCUGUAGGCUUGGAUCUAAGACCGCUUCAAGACUAUUCCAGCGAAUAUUUCUGGGCGAGAAAAGAGAUGAAUUUUUCUCUUUCUAAAUUGUGCAGUUUUGCUUUCAUCUGCGAAAAAUUGAAAUGGAAACAAUUCAUCUUUUAUCAUUGAAAAUAUGCAAGACUUGCAAAGUUUCCCAUUUGAUCAAUGAAAAGUGCUUAUUUGAUUGUGGUAGUGAGUUCUAACGGAAGAAAUAGGGAGAACCAAAAAAGUAUCCUUGGGCAGAAAGUAAGAUCCGAAUACGAACUUGUAAAGAAAAGAGUGUACCAGCAAUCUAGGACGUUGCACACAUGUACCACGUACCUAAAAUUGUCGAUGGUGUUAAGCACGUUUUAGUUCCUAAAUCUGUCAUAGGUAACAGCGGUGAAAAAUGGAAUUCUUCUCUUGUAGGGCAAGGUCUUGGCAAGAAAGAGUAUUGGAUUUAUUUCCACUGCAGUGAAUAUGUUGUGGUGACGAGGAGAUUGAGAACGGAAUGUUCCUUAUGAACCUUUCCUCUUCCAGACCAUUGCGCACUAUCUUCUUGUGCUAAGAAAAUGGAAGCCUGAACUACAAAGUUAGGAGGUCUCUGAUGUGAAAACUGUUGUCUAGGCUAAGCUGCAGAGCGUUCCUCUGUAUCUUCUGACAUUGGAGGGAGGUCUUGACGGCUUUUUCAAGAGUGAGAAAGGCUUAAGGCAGGUCAAUCCUUUAUUGCAUAUUUUUGUUAUGGUGAUGGAGGUUUUCCCAGAACUGUUCAAUAAUUCUGCAAGUCAUGGCAAAUCAAAAUACCAUUCUCAGUGCUCUAAGGGGAAACUUGCCGACGAUUUGAUGAUAUCUUCCAAAGGGGAUAUGGAUUCUUGAAUGAAACUAUUGACUUUGUUUCAGAGACUUAAGCACACGUCAGGUCUUAGUAUUAAUCCCCUUAAGACAGAGAUAUAUAUGUAGCUGGUAUUAAGUGGCAGCUAGUGGAUGAUAUACAUCUCUUGGUGGCUUGGCCAAAUGCCAGUUAGAUACCUUGGCCUUCCCCUAAUUUUGGGAAGGUUAAGAGAAGAGUGUAAGCCUUUGGUGGACAAGAUUACUUUUCGAGUGAGUCCCUGGACAAUAAGGCAACUCCGUUGCGCUGAAAGAUUGCAACUCAUUGAGGAAGUAACAGCUUGGUGAAUUUUUGGAGUCAAAUUUUUUUGUUGUCAAAAAAGUUAGCGAUAUUAUGGAAAGCGAGUGUAUUGCCUACCUUUGGAAGGAAAAAUCUGAAAACGCUCGAGGUUCAAAAGUUGCUUGGAUGAUGCAUGUCUCCCUAACUUUAAGGGUGGAUUAGGAUUUGAGGAAACUGGGGCCUUGAAAUCUUGCUUGUCUAUUGAAGAACUUACGGAGAUUCUGUUGCAGGCUGGAUCCAUUUGGGUGGCCUGGCUUAGCUGUUUCUUGAUUAAAGGGCGGUCAACUUGGGCAGUGAAUCCAACUGGCGGGAGCAGCAAUGCUUGGAGAAAGUUUACUUGAAGCAAUGUAAAUUAGUAUAUAAUAUAUAGUUUCAUUUAAAAUUAAUAAUUGAAAAUUUGACGGAGAAAUGCUGUGCGUAAUUGUAAUUUGCACUGCAAAGCAUAGCUUGAGUGGUCACUUUUCUUCUUGUCCCUUAUAAAACUCGACCUCACUUACGACGUGGUUUCAAGAAGACUUUUUGAGAUUUCUAAUUCUCAUGUCUUACAUAUAAUGGAUGAUGAGACUGGAAAAAUGCAAAGUCAAGUUUUUCAAAUUAUGAUAUGGGAAAUCUAUUCUCAACUUUUCACCACCAAUAUAAGAAGAUUACUAGAAACCUACUAGACUAGAUCUUUGCUAGAAAUGCAUCCCCUUUUAAGGCAUGAAUGAUAAUCAUUUUGUUUUUUUGUUCUUGAGAGUAGGUUUUGGAAUAGAAAUCUGUUUAGUGACAUAAUUUCAUUUUUUUAUCUUUAGGACAAAUUUUUAGCCUGGAAAUAAAUUUGGAACAAAUAUGAAAAGUAGAAAAUGGGAACAAAAUAAAAACCUCUUUUUAUCACUCGUCCUCAUCGCCACCCUCCAUCAGCCGUCACCAUCCUCCGCCGGUCGCUUGCCCUCCACCAGCUACUAGUCACCACCUUCCACUCAUCACCCACCUGUCAGCCAGCAAUUGUUGCCCUUCACCGGCCGCCACCAAGAAAUUAAUUUAUAUAAAAAAAGUUUUAAUUCGAAAACAUAAAUUCUGCGUCAUUAUCAAAUGUAUAUCUUUACUCAGAAACUCAUCUAAACAAAAAAUUAUUUCCGAGAACAAAAUGAUUAUGAUUUGUGCCAUUAGUAAACUCGAAUUUAAUCGGAACAAAUCAGAACGCAGUCGAAUCUGAAUGGGUUUCAUAGGUAAGUUGAAAGACAAAAAGGUCAACGUCCCCGAGAAAUGUCAGUGGGAGGCAAUUUUCGCUGAGCAAACCUAAAAUGCAGUCAUUCACUUCGUCUCAGUUGCUCUCAGCUCACCUGUGACAUGGCUGUUGGACGAUGACCACAUACGUCUCACGUUCCACGUUGCGCCCGAUGGACAGUGCUUUUUCUUCUUCUUUUCCUUUGUUUUCUUACUUUUCUUUUCUUUUUCUUUUGUUUUUACUUGCUUUUUUACGAAUCCUUUAUAGAGGAUCAACAUCCAAUAGAUCAUCAUGGUAAUCUAGAGGAGAGUUUCCAUAUCAAAAGGUGGAAAACACAUUGCAUUGAAACGGUCGUUCGCCCCUCUUCUCCAUUCCCAUCAAGAUCUACUUCGUACACCACUGAAAAUUAGUCCACAAAAUGAUAAGAAAUUGCAUGGCGAAGAUUUCGCAAAGAUAAAAUCGACAUUAAAACCGGAAAAAGGAGCCAAAUGCUAAUGUUCCCACAAAUAUGAGAGCUCACCAUUAGGGAUGGGCAUGGGGGCGAGUCCAAUGCGGCGAACUAGGGACCUGUGCCAUCCCUGUCCCCUUCCCCACGGGGGGCAGGGCGGUUCGCCGGCGGUUCACGAGCGGAAAGGGCGGCAGAGAGUAAGAUAGAGAGAGACGGUGUAUUAACACAGUGCCAAAAAUGUUGCUUUAAUUCCCACUAGUAUCCGUGCAUUUAAACAGAGCGGGAGGUACACUCAAGUCAACGCUCAGCGAGCCAAACCAACAUUGUCCUUAACAUUUUUCGUAGCGAGCCAAACCAACAAGCACCGACGCCCAUUUCACCUAAAUUUAUAAAUUCGUUCAUCUCAAUAAGAACUUACUAGAAAUGUGAACCCGCUUAGAACAACAACAGAUGAUAACUUUUGUCCCAAAAGAUAAUGUAAGUGAAAGAAAGUUAGUAGAGCUGACAAGUGCCACAAUAGAUGGAGUAUGAAUAACGACAUGCACUUUGAGAUCGAUUUACAAUUGGUUUUGAAUUAUGAAGGUUUGACGAAUCGCGUAGACGUGAAAGGAAUGAGAAGAGAUAAGGUCAAUAGUGGGGAUUUUAAGGACAAUGUUGGUUUGGCUCGCCCAGAGCUUAAUGGAUAAUUAGCGAGGUACACUCAAGUCAACGCUCUAAAGUCAAACCUGAAAUUGAAUGCACCGCAAAAAACUAAAGGGCCAUUUGAGGAACUAAAGAAUGGACUAAUCAGCAUGAGUUUGAAGAGUAGCUUGGUCAACUUCGACAAACUCAGCGACCCAGGCCUUUGAGGAUGUCCUCGAUGGUGCCAUCGUCGGUCUUGGCAAACUCGACGUGCUUCUUGCAGUACUCGAUCAGCAUUGAAGUACGAUCGCAAUCUGAGGAACCAUGCUCACCACUGCGAAUGCACACCAAUGGGAGAGGCAAGGACACAAAUGCAGUCGAUGAGGAAGAUCACCCUUGGAAGCUCCGACGGUGAUCCAUUCGAGGUAAGUGAGGAUGGGGCCGACGAGUCACAGACGAUCAAGCACAUAUACUCACCCUCUUUAUUCACAAUUGUGGCUGAUGUUUUAUCCCAUAUACUCAACAAUGCUCUGUAGGUGGGUUAGUGUCACGCAAUUAAGCUAAAAAAGGAGUGCCCUGAGCCCACCUUCUCUUUAAAUAUGACUCCCUAUUGUUACUUGUUGCUAACCCUGUUUGAACUGCAGACGUUUGAAAAAGAUUCUUGGCUGUAUUGUAUGGCUCAAGGCAGAGGAUUAUGUUGCAAAAAUCCAGUAUAUGCUUCAGUCCUAGCACGGGUGCUAUAUGGGUCCUGAAAAGAACAGUCCAGGGAAUCAAUAUUAUUCAGAACCCUGGUAACUAUUUGGGUCUACCUAUUCUAUGAGGUAGAUCUAAACGUGAAGCUCUUGGCUUUGUGGAGGAAAAAGUCUUGAAAAGAAUGCCGAGCUGGAAAACUAAAUUGGUCUCACAAGCUAGUAGGGAGAUUAUGGUAAAAACAGUGGCUUAUGCAGUACCAACUUAUUCCGUUGUCUUAUUUCAAGUUUCCAAAGAAGUGGCUUGAGGUCGUUGAUGCAGCUAUAGCCAAUUUUUGGUGGGGGUAAGCAGAAUAAUGAAGGGAAAGUGCAUUGGGAGAAUAGGGAAAGCUUAACUGAAGCAAAAUUAGAAUGAGGCUUGGGUUUUAGAAAAUUUUCACAGUUUAACAUAACCCUCCUUGCUAAGCUUGCUCGGAGAAUCCAAAGCAACCCCUCAGAAUUCUGGGUGCAAAUAUUUCAAGCGCUCUACUUUCCCCUUUGUAGCUUCAUGGAAGUCAAAAGAGGUGGCAGAAUGUCUUGGGGAUGGAGUAUAGUUUUGGAGGGAGAGGUCUGAUUAAGGAAGGUGGGUUAUGGUAAAUUGCUGAUGGGAAGUCGGUCAAAGUUGGGGAGGAUAGGUUGGUGAAGGAGAGUUGAGACUUGAUGCUUAUCCUCUAAUCCGACUCAGGUGAAAAAGUAAUUAAGAAUGGAGUCUCUAACUGGUGCAGAUACUAGGACUUGGAACUUGACCCCCAUUAAAGACAUCAUACGGCAGGAGGAGCAGUGAUCGGUGUUGAGAAAUCUCAUAAGGUGGAGAAGUUCCGAUGACCAACGAUUUGGCCCCGGAACAGGAGUGGUGGUUCUCCAGUAAAGUCUCUACCACUUUACUAUGCAGAAAAGAAAGAAACAUCCAAGCCUAGACCUCAAACUCUCAUACUAUUGAUGGUAUAGUUUGGAAAUUAGCACGGGUGUUGACUCUCCUCCCACGAUAAGACACUUCCAUUGGCAACUUUGCUUGAAUGUUAUGUCUGCUGCUGCUAAUCCGUGCAAAAGAAAAGAAUAAAGUUUCUCUUGCUUGUGUUCUGUUUUGAGAUUAUAUCUGUUGAGCAUUUAUACUCAAUUGCUUAAAGUUGAAAAUCCAAAAAACGAAAUGAUUCAGAUAGCCAAAGGACUCAUCAUUUGUUUAAAUUUGGAAAAAAGAAGAAGAAGAAAAGAACAGAAAGAAAAUCAAACUUUUACAUGAAAAGUCAGUGCAACUCAGCAGCAAAAUUGUGUUGCUAUGCAAAGUUGUCUCCAACUAAAAUUUAGAGAAAGAUAAAUAUUUCUCACAAAAGAGUGGAUGGUAAGCAAGAUGGAAACUUUCUAGAGUUUCACCUCCAAGAGUGAUAAUCCGAUCAAUGACACCUCUCCUUCAUGGAUGGGCUUGUUUUCUAAUUUGAAGUGCUCGUUUUGCAUGCCAAUAGAUUUCAUUGAGCCAUAAAACAGCCCAAAGCUCAUUACCAAUUUCAUACAUAUCUUCGUUUGGUGAUAUCUAAUGUUAGUAACUCUCAAUGUUCAUCGUAAUUUCCCUAGACUUUGCUAUACCCAUCAAUUUACGUUCAUUAACUUGGUGGUGAGAAUAUGUAAGAUUUUGUGUCAUGGACAUAUUACAUCCGUUGUGAGUGUAAGAUAGGCUAUGGUACCAUUGAAUUAGUUUGUGCUAGUUGACACACAAGUUUUCGCUCGAGUCUUCUCGUUCAAUUAAGAAAAUUUGAGAUCAAAUUCGAUGGAGUUUGACCCCCGAAGCAAAAAUAUUGAUAUUGCAUAGUCUUGCCUUUGCAAUUCCCAACUCCAUUUCUUCACAUUUAAAUAUUAAAGACAUUUAAAUUUUGGGUAUAAAGUGCUCACGUCAAAAAAAACAUGGAUCAAAGAGUUUCUUUGGGAUUGGCUCGAUGGAUGGUCUAAUAUGCAAAAAAUGAGUCCCGAAAUCCCUUGAGGUUCCAGAAUCAAGCCCGCGCGAGACCGGCCUUAAGCGAAUCAAACUAGGCCUAAUGAAUGGAAAGGAAGCGCGGCCAUCUAAGGACAAUAAGGGAAACUCAAAUCGGCCAACACCCAUUUUCGAAGCCCACGCAUGGUUGGAAGGUCUUAUUCAGCUGCACACGUCGAAAUUGGAAGAAAAGGCAAAGGAGAAUCAACGAAGGAAAGGGGCGUGCAGUUUCCACCUUGACAAAGGGAGCAAUCUCGGCAUUCAGGGACCCAAAUUCAUCGCCAAAAGAAAGCAAGAAAAUCUGAGCACAAGAAAGCAGGGGAUUCUCCGCCAAGAGGGACGGGGGAUUUUUCAGCAUUUAAUCAUUGCCAAAGAGAGCCCGAAAAAGAAAAAAAGGAAAAGGAAAAGGAUGAAGCUUUUUCAUCACGGCCGAGAAAGAGAAACGCAGAGAGGGUUUCGGUCAACAAAAGAGAGAAGACUAAAAGAAAAAAGGAACAGAGAAGUGGUCGGCAAAAGAAGAGAAAAAGAGAAACAUAGGAGGCAGAUUCUCGUGGAGGAGGUGGAAAGAAAAAAGAGGACACAGAGAGAGAGCUGUUGGGGCACGCGUGAGGAAGCAACAGAGAGCGAAAGAUGCAAUUUCCCGUUUAAUUUCCACGAAGUUCACCUUUCCUCGACACUUUAAUUUCAGAGAAAUUUACUCCUCGCAGUCAAAUUUCUCCAUCAUUUCAUUUAAAGUCUGGCGCACCUUGCACUUGGGAAAAGCCAAAAAUGAAAUCAUUUUAGCACUGUUUUGAAGUUGACCGAUUUUUGUUCAAGUUAGAAUUAAAGUGUGAAAACCCAUUUUAUCUAGAGAAGGGGUGUGUAAAAGUGACCAGUUUGGGAACUUUGUAAGAGUCACCGUUGUCAAGAGCCACCCUCUUCAAAGGAAACUCAUUUUAUGAAGAGUACUCGCGCGUUCCAUGGACAAAGUUCACUUGGCAUCUAACUGUCAUUUCCAGGGACAAGCAUUUCCUAAACAAUUUUGUAACCACGUGAAACUGUUUAUCCAACUCUUCUUUGUAACAUUCAACCAUCAAAUCCAAAUACCUUCAGAAGAGGAAGACCGUGUUUUCUCUCUUCCACGCCUACAACAACCAAAGAUAUUUACAAUCAAUUUUUCUUGCCAUGAACCAAAUUAAAAUGCCAGCUUUGAAUUCCCCUCUCCUCGUUUUAGAUUGCCAAUCUUGGUUAUGCUAAUUAUAUUUUAAGCGACAAAUACUUCCACAUAUCAAUUUCAACUCCUUUAAAACCUUUGAUGAGAGACUAGCGUUAGGAUUACAUGUAUUGCAUAUUCGUGUGUUCACAUUCGUGGAUAGUGACAUGUAUUUACUCAUUUUUUUCAAUUUAAAAGAAAAAAAAAACUAUAACUACAAAACAAUAACAUAACAACGUAUUUACUAGAUCAAUAUGAAUUAUUUACAAUCGAUAGACAAAUCGAAGAGUUUGAUGUCUAUCGAAUUUACAUGGCGUUGCUGAACAUCUAGAUUUCUUUAAAUACCUAAAAGAAGCUAUGCAAACCCAUACCGAGUCUCAUUGUAAAACACAAGUUUUAAUACAAUUAUUAUAUUGAGAUUGGUUCUCUCUGUCGCAUAAAUAGAUUUUAUACAAUAUCAAUCCAAAAAUUCGCCAGCUAAGCAAAGCAAAGAUGAUGGAAGACUUUGACUUUAUGUCCCUUGCCAGUCUUUUUCUUUUGACUUUUUCAUUCAAGUAACUUUUGUCGGCCUUUGCCUUACCUCUUUCUUUGGUUGGGAGAAAAGAAUAGGAAAAUUCAAGGAAGCAAGCAAAGAUGGUAGAAGACUUUGAUUUGUUUUCCCUCACCUUACGCUGGGAAGUAGAUUAUCUAACAACCAUGAUUUGAGAGGUGCGUGCGUCCUAGGCAAUUAACCAUUAGGAUUAAUUUAAAUAUGAGUACUCAUCGCCUCCUCUCCCGACCUAUGCGAUAAGUAACUUUAAAUUAGAAAAGGUAAUUUUCUGCCUGUCUAUUGUUAGUAAAUCUCAAUGUUGAUAGUCAUUGUUCAUUCAACAAAAUAAGCUUAACCAUUUACGUAACUAGUACUUUAUAAGCCAACUUUUAACAUAGAAAAAGGUAACACAACUUCAUAUGGUUAGUAAAUGGUUAGUAACUCAUUAAUUUGACUUGUAAUAUAUAUAUACAUGAUUAGUUUUUCUUAUAUACAUUGAAGUAACUUUCCCUACAUCUGUGUGUCAGUAACUUUUCACAAGAUUGCAUUGAAAUUUUUGGAGAUGCAAGUGACAUCCGGGCUAGAGUUUAUGACUUUGCACUAAAUUUUGUUUUGAUCCAUUCAUGAUAAAAAAAAAAAACAUCAAUAAUACUUAGAUCAUUAAUUUACUACACUCCAUCCAAUCAUUUUAGUAUAUGUACAUUCAAGCAAACGGAAAUUUAUUUUCCACCUUUUAAAUGGAAACAAGUAAAGUUAUUGUCAAGAUUUAUAUUUAAUGAAACUGCUGGUCCUUGAAAUUUUAUUUGAAUGUGUCCAUGUCAUAUCUAAUUCAACAAUCGAUUCAAUUACAUCCUUAAAUAUUUGUCUAAUGUGCGCCAUGAUCUUAUCUCUUAAUUGAUUAUGUUCCUGACCUUUUUGAAUAUGUUCAACAUUGUCUCAUUUUAGUAAUUAGAAGGACAAAUCCGUACAAUGUCACUUUCUAGUCUUUUGCUCGUCAAGAACAAAUGGUUUGUUCUUUACUUUCUACAAGCUUUAGCUACUAAUGUUGAUCCGGCUCCUAACACUUCCAACAUGUGAGAAUCACAGUUAAACAUUAUUUAGUAGGAUGCAUUUUUAGUUCCGAGGAUGAAGCUUCGGAAAGCUACCUAGAGGAACAGUAUAUUGGCCCAUACACUUCUAUGCUUUCAUUUAACUUAUUUUUCUGUAAACUAAGGCAAUAAAGUAAUUAUACAAAAUUAGUAUGAUUAGUAACUCAUUUUAUAUUAAAAAAAUGCAUCUACCUAUUAGUAACUAGUAAUCUGGACGCGUAAGUUUCGAGAGUGGGUUGCGACUCCCACGCCCUCAGGGCACAAGUCUGCGAGUGAGUGUAGAGUAGGCAUAGAGUAGGACUGACAAAAAAAAAAAACUUAUUUUUCUGUAUAAAAAAGCAAUAAAGUGAUUAUACAAAAUUAAUAUGAUUAGUAACUCAAUUUAUAUAUAACAAAAAUUUCCAUCUACCUAUUAGUAACUAGUAAUUUUUCUAUGCAAUAAAUAAUUAUGGAAUAAAAAAAGGUAAUUUUCUGCCGAGUGUUAGUAAGUCAUACUAUUCAUAGUAAUUUUUCUAGACUUUGCUAUACACAUCAACUCAUGUUUGUUAUCUUAUUGGACUACAUAAGAUUUUAAAUAGUGGAUAUAUUACACUUGGUGUGAGUGUUAUGCCACUGUUAAACUAGAUUGUACCAAUUGACACCUAAAUUUUCAUUAGAAGACUUCCAUUCAUUUGAUAAGAAAAUUGGAGAUUGAAUUCAACAAAGUUUGACCCCUAAACAAAAAUGUCAAUCUUGCAUGGUCAUGCAUUCGUAAUUCUCACUUCGUUUCUUCGCAUUUAGAUAUCGGGGACAUUUUAAUUUUGGGCAUGAAGUAUUCACAUCGAGCAAAGCAUGGUUCCAUCUGUGAGUUUUCUUGGAAGUGGCCCAAUAGAUGGCUCCAUAUGCAAAAAUGAGUCCUAAACUCACUUGAGGUGCCAAAACCGAGUCCGCGUGAGUCCAGUGACUCCAGCCCCCAAGCUGUAAUCGAACUCAGCCGAAUGGAGGGAUUGGAAGCGUGGCCAUUCAAGGGCAACAAGGGAAAUUUUAAUCGGCCAAUACCCAUUUUCGUGGCCAAUUCCAGUCUGAACUUAUAAGAUGGAAGGUCUUGUUCAGUUGCUGUACGCGUCCAAAUGGAAGAAAAGGCAAAGGAGAAUCAAAAGGAGGAAAAGGGGCGUGUAAUUUCCAUCUUGACAAAGGGAGCAAUCUCGGCAUUCACGGACUGGAAUUCACGGCCAAAAAAACAAAAAAUCUGGGCAUAGAAAAGCAGAGGAUUCUCGGCCAAGUGGGGCAGCGAUUUUUCAGCGUUUAAUCAUUUCCAAAGAUAUCUUGAAAAGGAAAAGGAAAAGGGUGGAGCUUUUUCUGCACGGCCAAGAAAGAGAAACACAGAGAGGAGAAAAUAUUCAGUGGAAUGUUUCUCCAAGGGGAGGGUUUCGGUUAAGUAGAGAGAGAAGACUAGAAGGAAAAAAAGAACAGAGAAGUGGUCAGCAAAAGAAAAGAAAAAUAAGAACAGAGCAAAAGACGCAGUUUCCGUUUAAUUUCCUCGAAGUUCACUUAUCCUCUGCACUUUAAUUUCCGAGAAUUUUACUCCUCGCAGUUAAAUUUCUCCAUCAUUUCAUUUUAAAGCCCAUCGCACCUUGCACCUGGAAAAAGCCAAAAACAAAAUCAUGUUUAGCACUGUUUUGGAGUUGACAGACUUUUGUUCAAGUUGAAAGUGAAGUGUGAAAACCCAUUUUAUUUAAAGAAGAGGCGUGUAAAGGUGACCGCGUUGGGAACUUUGCAAGAGUCACCGUUGUCAAGAGCCACCCUCUUUAAAGGAAACUUAUUUUGUGAAGAAUACUCGCACAUUUGAUGGACAAGGAUCACUCUGCAUCAAACUGUCAUUUCCAAAAUACUUGACAAGAAUUUCCUGAACAAUUAAGUGACCGCAUACUCUUCUUCAUAACAUUCAAUCAUCAAAUCCAAGUACCUAGUAUUACUGUGGAAGAGGAAGAUAUUUACAAUUAAUUUCUCUUGCUGUGAACCACAAUUAAAUUCCAGCUCCGAAUUUCCCCCUCCUAAUUCUAAAAACAAGAUAUGUUUGACAUCAAAUCAAACUCUUAAAAGUUGAAAAAGAGGAAAAGCCUGAAGUCAAUGUAAAGAAACAUCCAUUUAUCUGAUAGGAUUAUGAGCCGAAAACCUCCUUUCAAAUUGAUGCCUAAUAACUGUUUUAUGUCCUUUGGACCAUGAAUAUCUAACAGUAAUAUUGGAUUAAAAACAUUAAUUCAUAAAACAAUGUUGCAACUUGUUAGAUAUAUUUGUAAUGGACUCAUCUGCAAAUUACCUAAUCAUUCACACAUGCAUUGGAUUACAUGUAUGUUGUAUAUGGUCCAAUUUUGUCUAGAAUCAUGAAAUUGUGUAUCUAUUCUACUCUAUAUUAGUUUAGGUUCUAUAUAAAUGAUUGCAACUACUUGUGUAGUGCAUUCUGAUGAUGUACAAAGACCUUCGGUUUAUCAGUCUCUCACCAACAUAACCAUUCAAUCGAAACUCGCCACCAUCCACUUAGACAGUCUCCGCCAUGACCCAUUUUCAAAGACUUUGAAUCCUAAAAUCACGUUGUUGAAUCAACCUCAACUACAACUCAACUCCAAUAUGGACGAAAAGCUCACAUGUCGGGACGACACAACUCAAUCCAAAUCUUUGCCUUCGUAGCUUGCCACCCUUUGGUGCUUAUUUCUCAAUGAACCACCCAUCAGACAAGUGACCCUCCUCCAAGUUGAACACUAGAAACCAGUUUUGCUGGAAUUGAUCCCACAGCCAAAUGUCUUGUACCAAAGUCGUUCUUCGGUUUUAUUAAAAGGGGCUAGUAUUUUGCAUCAACUCCACACAGAUGAUAUCUCAUGCAAAGAGGAAUCGAACUCCUUUGAUUUAAACAACACUAUACAAUUCCGGGCUAAGUUGGAUUUUUUGAUUUAAACAACACUAUACAAUUCCGGGCUAAGUUGGAUUUUAAUCAAUAACAAAGCCCAAAAGUUACGAGAUCAGUCUCAAACUAUGUCGGAAUUCAAUCGAGAACAUAAAUUGAGGAUACUGAGAUACAAUGUCAGAAUUCAAUCGAUGAUGAAGCAAGAUAAAGAUACACAUUGGAAUCUAAUCGACAACGCGAAUUCGAGAGUUAUAUAGCUAAGGAAAUUUAAAAUACAAUGUAGGAAAAGUAAAGAUAACUAAGAGAUAACAUUUUGUUUUACUUGUAUGAGGAGUCUUCUUGUUGGAUAGCUAGUGGUAUUUAUAUUGAAAGUGUAGUAACUUCUCCUCGACUAUGCUUAGUGGCUGUAUUUCUAAUGUAAAUAUCUAAAAACUUGUGAUCGGCAUAAGUAGAGCAACUAGGGGAGUAGAUGGAUUUUAUGAAUAAGGACAAAGAUAAAAAUUUGGUAAACUUUAUUACAUGGCCAAUCUUGGCUAUGUUGAUAUAUAUUUAAAGCAACAGAUAGCUUUCACAUAUCAACUUCGACUUUCUUCAAACCCUUGAUGAGAGACUAUUGUUAACAUUACAUGUAUUGCGUAUUCGCACACACACAUUCAUGAAAAGUAUAAUUACAAAACAAUAACAUUUCCAUGUAUGCUAUUUGAUACAUAUGAGUUAUUUAGAAUUAAUAAACAAGUUGAAGAGUAUGAUGUAUACUGAAUUUAUGUAACAUUAUCGGAUAUCUAGAUUUUCUUAAAAUAUUUAAGAAAACCGUGCAGACCCCAUAUUAAAUCCCAUAGUUAAACACAAAUUCCAGUAUAAUUAUUAAAUUAUUAUCGAUUUUCUCCGUAGCAUCGGUUACAAACCGUGCAAGGCGGUGGAAGACUUUUGGUUUGCUUUCACUCGUCGGAGCCUUUCUUUUCCACUUCUCUUUCGAGAGGAUUUUGUCAGCUUUUCUUUUUUCCAGCUAAAAAGCAAGAUGAUGAAAGACUUUUUGACUUACUUUCUCUCGUCGUUGAGUGGUCCUCGAUGAUGGGGACACCCUCAUUUCAUGUGCCCUUCCUUCACGUUCUCCUUUUCUGGGCCCCGCUGGUUGUGUGACAAUGUUUGACUUGGAAGCAGGCAUUCGGAUCGAACGGCUGAGGAUGAUUCCAUCUGGAGCAGGAUGGAUUAGAGUGGGCCAUCGGGCGAUUAAGGCCGGGAUCGAGGCAUGCUUAGAUGCAACUCUCACAUUUCGCGAUUUAUUACCACUAAUCCAUGACAAUGGCACUUUCGUAAUAGUAUUGUUAAACGUGACUUUCUUCUCUUCUGCACUGCUUUUUCUCUCUCUCUCUUUCUCACUCUGCGCGGAGCUCUCAUUCUUUGAAUUCUCACGCAUUCACGCACUCCCUUGGCCUUUUCAACUCUCUCGCUCUUCGCUCUGCUGGAAAACAUGGCGUUUUCCGGCGAACGCCGACCUCUCGACUGCUCUCUCCCUCCCGAGCUCACCUGCGAGACUCCCUGCCCCACCCUCAAGCUCUACUUCCUCAUUGGAAUCCUCAGCCUCUCCGCGCUCUCCAUCGCUCUCCUCAUAUACCUCUGCGUCUUUCUCAGUCGGACCUCAAAGAAGCGCGAAGUGCCAGCAAAAGGGACGAAUUCUCGGGAAUCAGUUGGACCUUCCUACGAGGUUUUUCUAAGUUUUCAUGGACGAGACACCCGUCAUGGAUUUACCGAUUUUCUUUACCAUGGCAUGGUUGAGGCCGGGAUCCUCGUCUUUAGGGAUAAUGAAUCCCUCCAUGUCGGUCAAAGAAUUGGCGAUGAACUUCUACAAGCCAUCCGAAACUCCAAGAUCUACAUUCCCAUAUUCUCCAAGAAUUAUGCGUCGAGCCACUGGUGCCUUCGAGAGCUUACACACAUGGUUGAGUGUGCCUCCAAGUCGAAUGGGAAUAAAGAGAUUUUGCCCAUUUUCUUGGAUGUGGAGCCUGAUGAUGUCAAGCUGAAAACAAACUUAUACAGCAAAGCCCUUUCAAAGCAUCAGAAAAAGUUUUGCACUGAAGUUGAAUCAUGGAAAAAGGCUCUUGUUAAUUUGGACAAGAUAAAGGGAUGGAACUUGAAAACAGAUGAAAGGUAAAUGUCUAAAACUUUUCAACUUGUCAUCCAUAGAUUUCCUUUUCUUCCCAAGUUAGUUUAAUUAUGGUAUCAUUGGUGAAAAUAUAGUUUAUUCAUCUCACCAAUCCUAUCUUGUGUAACUUGUGGUCGUGGCCGUUGUCACUGCUGCUAUCGGCCUCAGUGGCCGAUAUCGGCUCUAUCGUGGGCUUUGAUGGUUCUAUUGCGGUGGUAGUUGACCCUAUUCAUCCUAGUUUUGUUUCUCCUCACACACUUGGUCUCCAAUACAAUAGCCACGAACAGUAAUAAAAAUCUGAGUAGUUCCACCAAGCCACCGACCAGCCAUUGCAGCAGCUCGACGGUCAUUCGCCGUCACUUCUUCGUCGCCGGCUGGCACCAAGCUGCCAGAAGCCGCCGUUGAGCCAUGCGGCCCCCACCAUUUCUCCCUUUGACUCACUGUGAUGAGUCGGAUUUGUGCUCAGGAGGCCAUUUCCGACAUCACAAAGCCCAUAUCCGGAGUCGCCGACCUUCGGUAACCCCAAAUCUGGUGUUGCCCAAGGCCGGUGACACCAUCCUUGGCGGUCGCAAGGCCACGACCCACAUGAUGAGGAUUGAGGCAAGGCCUAGACGGGCAGGUCAAUAGGGCUCGAUGGGCAACGGCGCUGGAACGUGACAGGGAUGGCCCGGGGAGGUGAGUGAUGUCAACGACGGCGAGGUAGUGGCAGGGGCCAAUGGUGUGGUGACUGAAAUUUGGGGAGCGGAGAUAGAAUGGGAAAAAUCCAGAUUGUUCUGGUGCCUAAAUUAUUUUGCGCUUUUUCUUCAAAUCGUAAAUAUAAAAUUUAUUCUAACACGGUUGUUACAUUUUGGCAGCCAAGUAAAUCUGAAGCGAUCAAUAAUUCAAACAGUGUUGACUAAGUUGAACAUCGGAUUUAAAAAAAAUGUGACCGAAGAUCUAGUUGGAGUUGAUGAUCAUGUAGAAGCUAUAAUCAAAAUGUUGCAUGUGGAAUCCAAUAAUGUACAAUUCCUCGGAAUCCAUGGAAUGGGUGGGAUUGGCAAAACUACACUUGCCAAGGUCAUCUUUAACCGACUAUCUUCUAGUUUUUAUGAAUGCAAUUUCCUUUCAGACAUUGGAGAAUCAUCACGACGCCAUGGUAUGGUAGAUUUGCAAAAACAGUUGCUAUCCAAGUACAUUGAUUUUGAAGUGGUUCUCAAGCGAAUUCAUGAUGUGGAUGAUGGGAUCAACAUGAUUAAGAGAGUACUUUGCAAUAAAAAAGUUCUCAUUGUUCUUGAUGACGUGGAUGAGAAAAAACAACUUAAAAAUUUAGCAGGAAAAGAUAAUUGGUUCGGUUUCGGUAGUAGGAUUAUCAUAACUACUAGGGACCAAAGUGUCCUAACCACACUUGGAGAAGCAACAGAUGAAGGCUUUGCAAAUAUUUCGGCUUACGAAGUAGGUGAAAUGGAAUUUGAUCAUGCUCUUAAGCUUUUCAGUAGGCAUGCCUUUAGAAGAGACUCUCCAUUAGAUCAGUAUAUUUCCCUUUCCGAAAAAAUUGUCCAUACUUUGGGAAAACUUCCUUUAGCUCUUGAAGUUAUAGGUUCAUUCCUUUCCGAUAAAUCUAAAGCAUUAUGGGAAGACACAUUGAAUAAGCUAAAAGAGGCUCCUCCUAAGGAAGUCCAAAAGAAGUUGAUGAUAACUUAUGAAAGGUUAGAUGAUGUACAAAAGCAAGUAUUUUUGGAUAUAGCUUGCUUUUUUAUUGGUUGUUGUAAAGAAUACCCUUCUUACAUGUGGGAUGCUUGUGGAUAUUACCCGCACAAUGCCCUUGAAGUCCUCGUUCUCAUGUCCUUGAUAAAAAUCAAGGAUGACAAUACUUUUUGGAUGCAUGACCAAGUGCGGGAUCUCGGAAGGGACAUUGUUAGAAAAGAAAAUUUUGAUGAUCCCUGCAAGCGCAGCAGAGUGUGGAGUUCUAAGCAUGUGCUAAGCAUUUUGAAGCAGAAAGAGGUAUGAGAAUGGAACAAUAAUUUAUUUUCUUGUGAUUUUAUUCUUGUAAAAAGAAAAAAUAAAUCAAUAUUAACACUUGAAAUUGUUUGCUUUUGACCUUCACAUGUGGACUUCGUGUUGCCAUUGUCAGGGGAGAAGGGAAAUUAAAGCGAUGUCGUUUGCAUAUUCUGAAGAUUCUAAAAAUGGUGAUUUAUUCGAGGCUGAUGAAUUUGCCAAUCUAGAAAAGCUAAGGUUCUUUCAAGGACAUCAGAUAUCCUUUGUUGGAGACUUCAAUAAUCUUCUUUCCAACUUAAAAUGGCUUUGUUGCUAUGGCCACUCAGUCAUGUUUGAGGCAAAAAACUUUCAUCCAACUAAUUUAGUCGUUUUUAACCUUUCAAUGAGCAACAUUUCGGAAAAAGAUAUUGAUUGGAUCAAAGUACGAUACGAACCCCACUCCUUGUAUUCGUAAAUCGUUUCUUUUCAUUUUUUUUUGUAGGUGGUUCCUCAAUAAAUAUUUUAUCAAAUUGUUUUGCAGGCGGUAAGGAAAUUGAAAGUCCUAGAUGUCAACUCCUGCAAUUACUUAAGGAGAACACCUGAUUUAUCCACAUUGGCGUCUUUGGAGAUCCUAAGAAUAACAUAUUGUGAAAUUUUGGAAAGUAUCGAUUGGAUUGAGGUACGAUACGAGUCUCACUCCUUGUAUUCAUAAAUGAUUUAUUUUUAUAUUUUUUUGUAGGUCAUUUCUCAAUAAAUAUUAUUGUUUUGCAGGGGCCAAGGGAAAUAAAAGUCUUAGAUCUCAGCGGCUGCCAAUACUUAAGGAGAGUGCCUGAUUUAUCUAUGUUGGUGUCUUUGGAGAUUUUGAGAUUACAUUAUUGUUCAAAGAUAAAGAAACUUCCAGACUCGAUUGGGAAAUUACAAUCAUUAAUCAAGUUGGAUUUGUUAUAAACGAAUAUUGAUCACCUACCGGAUUCAUUCAGCAAUCUAAAGCAACUGACAACACUUAGGAUGAUGGACAUUAAGGGAGGGUUGACAAAAUUACCUAGUGCGAUCUGGUUUGUUCAGUUUGUGGCUUAUUCUUUUUCGUCCCACGAUAAUGAGCUGUACUGUUUGAAAAUGCCAGACUUGUCAUGGACCCAAAUAUUUGGAUUACCCACCGUGGCGAGUCUCGUCUCUAAUAUCCGUGAACUUCGGAUGGACGCGUGGUAUAGCAGACGGCCCAACUUUUACACCCUUGAACUUGAUAAGCCGGAGAAUGUCAAUUUUUAUCGCGAGUCCCUCGAGCGUAGCAAAUCUCAGAGGGAAAAACAAAUAUUGGCCUCCCCAAACAUGCGGUUCCUCCUUCAGCUCCCGUCUAGUUUAAGAGACUCAGUAUUUCGAGAAGUGCGGAAUCUGGGUUUCUGUCGUUAUUGGAUGCCGAUAUUCGUUGGUAUAUGUGAUUCGGAGUUGGAGAAACUCCUUCUGCAGGAUUCCACGCUUUCAAGACGGAUUGAACAGUGUUGGCUGAGAAACAGGAAAUUCCCGUCCAGAUACCGUCGGAGGAUUCGUCGACAGCGGCAUCAGCCCACAAAAGCACUUGAGCCGUCGCAUAUUAAGAAUCUGCAAGAGGUUGAUCUGUUCGAAUGCGAGCUACUAGUCGAGAUUCGCGGCCUCGAAGAAUUGGGAUACCUUUCAUCCCUUGCGGUCGCAUAUUGUAGGUCGAUCGAAAGGAUGCCAGACCUAUCGAAAUCGAGGAAGCUAAGGGAGCUUCGAGUGGGAAAAUGUCCGAAGCUAAGAAGCAUGGAAGGUUUGGAACGCUUGGAAUCUCUAAAGUGUUUGCGGAUUCACGAUUGCAGGUCUUUGGAGAGUCUGGUGGACACCUCGAAUUUGGAUUUAGAAUGUUGCCUGAUUGUCCGUUGCAAGCGGUUGCCCGACUGUCGCAAUUAUUGUAAACGUGGCCGGGAUUGCUAUUGUGAGAUGCUUUUCGAGGGGUUAUGGAAAUCUGACCCGAUGGAAGUCCAGCAAGUAUUACAGGGACACCCGGAUGUUGCGCCAGUAAGGAAUUUAGAACGUGGCUUGGUUGUUGUGCUUGGUGUAGCCAUUUUGUUUGUUUUGUUGUUGUUUUGUUUUUUUGUUCUAUGAAAAAGGCUUUCUCCCGGACAAAUAUUGGUGAUGAAGCUAUGGAAGUGAACGAGGCACGCUCAUAUGAUGCCAAAACAUUGUCCAAUUUUGAUCAGCUCUUGAACAUAGUACUCAGUUCAUUGAUUGCUGUCCAUGAUUUCCAUUCUAUUCCUCCUUUUGUCUUUGUUAUAGAUGAGUUUCAACUCAAACGAGUGUGGUCGAACCCUGUUUUUCUCUCGCUUGUUUUGUUUGAAACGGAGAAACUGAACACAGAACGUGAAAAUCUCGCAGCGAGAGAUGGGGGAAGGGCUAGAGAGAUAGAGAGAGAGGGAGAGAGAGGGUGGUUGGAGUUUCUCUCGGCUUCUUACAAGAGAGAGAGAGAGAGAGGAGGGGGGGAUUUGUCUGCGUUGCGUGGUGACUGUCUGAUAAGAGGGGGGGCGUCGAGUUGUUCGAGGUCAGCGAGGCUGUGGCGGUCGAGUCGCAGACGGUCAAGCACAUAUACUAACACUUUUUAUUCACAAUUGUGGCUUUAUGUUUUAUCCCAUAUGCUGUAGGAGGGUUGGCUUUUAGGAAUUAAGCUUAAAAAGGAGUGCCCUGAGCCCACAUUCUCUUUACUUAUGACUCCCUAUUCUUUCUUGUUACUAACCCUGAUUGAACUGCAGAUGUUCGAAAAAGAUUCUUGACUGUAUUGCACUGCUCGAUCCCCAGGAUUAUCUUGCAAAAUUCCAGUAUAUGAUUCAGUCCUGACACGGGUGCAGAGUUCAUAACAGAGGUACGCACCGUCCAGGGAAUGAAUGGUAUUCAGAACUCUGGUAACUAUAUGGGUCUACCUAUUCUAUGGGGGUAGAUCCAAACAAGAAGCUCUUGGCUUUUUUAAGGAUAGAGUCUUGACAAGGAUGCCUAGCUGAAAAUCUAAAUUGUUGUCACAAGCUGGUAGAGAGUAUAGGUAAAAACAGUGGCUUAUGCUGUACAAACUUACUCCAUGUCUUGUUUCAAGUUUCCAAAGAAGUGGCAUGAAGAAGUGGAUGCAGCUAUAGCCAAUUUUUGGUUGGGAAAGCUUAACCGAAGCAAAGUUAGAAUGAGUCUUUAGUUUAUCACAGUUUGACAGAACCCUCCUUGCUAAGCUUGCUUGAAGAGUCCAAAGCAACCCCUCAGAAUUCUGGGUGCAAAUAUUUCAAGCGCUCUACCCUUUGUAGCUUUGUGGAAGUUAGAAGAGGUGGCAGAAUGUCUUGGGGAUGGAGUAGAGUUUUGGAAGGAGAGAUCUAAUUAAGGAAGGCAUGUUAUAAAAAAUUGCUAAUGGGAAAUCAGUCAAAGUUGGGGAGGAUAGGUUGGUGAAGGAGAGUUGAGACUUGAUGCUGCAUCCUUCAAUCUGACUCAGGGGAUAAAGGAAUUAAGAAUGGAGUCUCUAAUUGAUUCAGAUACUAAGACUUGGAACUUAAACCCCAUUAAAGACAGCAUGUGGUAGGAGGAGCAGUGAUUGGUGUUGAGAAAUCACAUAAGGUUGAGAAGUUCAGAUGACCAAAUGAUUUGGCCCUGGAACAGGAUUGGUUGUUCUUCAGUAAAGUCUCUACCACUUUACCAUGCAGAAAAGAAAGAAACAUCUACUAAAGCCUAGAUCCUCAAGCUCUCAUACUAUUGAUGGUAUAAAUUGGAAGUUAGCACAGGGAGUUGACUCUCCUCAAGACAAGACACUUCCUCUAGCAACUUUGCUUGAAUGUUGUGCCUGCUGCUGCUACAUGUGCAAAAGAAAAAAAUAUAGUUUCUCCUGGCGACGGUGCCCUUAAGAGUUUGUGCCAACAAACUUUCAUCUGACUAAUUUAGUCGUUCUUGACCUUUCAGAUAGCGAUGUUUCAGAGAAAUGGAUUGGCUGGAAUCAAAUCAUAAUAUAGUACGAAUCUUACUCCUUACAUACAUGUAUCAUUACUUGUCGUUUUUUUUUUUCCUGCAAAUAAUUUCUUAGUAUAUAUUUUGUUUUGCAGGUGGCAAGUAAACUAGAAGUACUAGAUCUCAACAAUUGCGAAUACUUAAUGAGAACACCUUAUUUAUCUAUGUCAGCGUCCUUGGAGAGAUUGAAUCUUGAAGGUUUUCACAACUUAAUUGAAAUUGACCCAUCCAUUGGUAAAUUAAAGCUCCUAACUGCUUUGAACCUGAAGGGAUGUGACUCUUUUGAAGAGUUACCUGAAGAGAUAGGAUAUCUACAAGCUUUAACAGAGAUUGUCAUGCCUAAUACACUACAUGAACUUUCGAAGAGAUUUGGUAAUUUGUGGUCACUGUUGACCUUUGAUGUAUCGCAUAAGCAGAUUAGCAAACUGCCAUACUCGAUCGGAGAGCUAGUGAAACUUAGGCGGUUGGAUUUAUCAGGGUGUACAAAGAUAGAGGAACUUCCAGACUCAAGUUUGGAAAGUACAAUCCUUAGUUGAGUUGGAUUUGUCAUUGAUAAUAUUUGUGGACCUUAAAAAGACUUAAAGAUUGAC
rnacentral:lncRNA from 1 species